rnacentral:rRNA from 1 species
UGAGGAAUAUUGGACAAUGGGCGCAAGCCUGAUCCAGCCAUGCCGCGUGCAGGAUGACGGUCCUAUGGAUUGUAAACUGCUUUUGUACAGGAAGAAACAGUUCUACGUGUAGAACCUUGACGGUACUGUAAGAAUAAGGAUCGGCUAACUCCGUGCCAGCAGCCGCGGUAAUACGGAGGAUCCAAGCGUUAUCCGGAAUCAUUGGGUUUAAAGGGUCCGUAGGCGGUUAGAUAAGUCAGUGGUGAAAGCCCAUCGCUCAACGGUGGAACGGCCAUUGAUACUGUCUGACUUGAAUUAUUAGGAAGUAACUAGAAUAUGUAGUGUAGCGGUGCAAUGCUUAGAGAUUACAUGGAAUACCAAUUGCGAAGGCAGGUUACUACUAAUGGAUUGACGCUGAUGGACGAAAGCGUGGGUAGCGAACAGGAUUAGAUACCCUCGUAGUCCCUGAGCGGGCUGGCAAGGCGCAU